CUUUGAUGUGAUGUUUUGCAGUGAACGAACGUCCUCCUUCAGAUAUGAUGUCUAAGCAUAUAUUUGUCAGAGGGAAUGAAUAGAUGUACCAACAGCCUUCAAAUGCUACUUGCAGGAUGGCACAUUUAUCACCAAGUCUGGUCUGUGGAGAUGAUUGUAUCUACUGAAGAACUGACCUCUGACUAAAAUACUGGUGAGAUACAGCCUAAGAAAACCACUGGACGUGUGAAAAAACUCAAACAAGAAUUAGAAGUACUGUAUAUGAAUCCAAAAAACAUCCAAGUCCAACAACCAUGACAUCACUACUACUAUUAUGGGAGGGGCUUAAUCUCAGUGAUCAAUUCUUAAAGGGGUAUCACAGAUGGUUAAAAUUUCAUGACAAAAUAUGUGAAACAUACUUGGAUAAGUGAUGGUUAUCGCUGUUUGGUCAGGCAGAUCUAGGGCCAUUUUUGUCUCUGUUCAUUCA